UAGCCGUAAACGAUACUCGCUAGGUGUCGGCCACGGUGCGACCGUUGCCGGUGCCGUAGGGAAGCCGUGAAGCGAGCCACCUGGGAAGUACGGCCGCAAGGCUGAAACUUAAAGGAAUUGGCGGGGGAGCACCACAACGGGUGGAGCUUGCGGUUUAAUUGGAUUCAACGCCGGAAAUCUUACCGGGACCGACAGCAACAUGAAGGCCAGGCUGAAGACUUGCCGGACUUAAGCUGAGAGGAGGUGCAUGGCGGUAGUCGUGU
rnacentral:rRNA from 1 species